AUCUGCAUAGAGUGGACGGACGGCAGACAAGUUAAAACAGACCAACGCAGCAGGAUUCCCGCAUAGUUAAGUCCUUGUUAGCUGUGCUAAUCUCCUCUACAUAUUUGGACGCCGGAUCCAGAUCUCACCACCCUCGUCUCUCACUCUCAGACUACCGUGCUCACAAGUCCUUUCGAGAUCUGAAGCUCAUAGCUAGAACUAGGAGAAAUGAGCUGGAGAGCAUGCUACUGGAACUUUGAAGUGAUAGUUGACCUAGGUUUAAUCUUUUCUUCGAAGCAUCUUGAGAGGCUAAAGUCUGUAAUUUUUGGCACCGUGUUGUUAUCGAGCAAUACAUUUUCAGGUUUGAGAUCUAAGUGAAAAAUUCGGCUCUCGUGAAGAUAAUGUAAACCCCCGCAAAUUCCUUUGAUUAUUUGAUAGCGCUCUCUACAUUCAGGAUGAUUGUGCAUAUGAUAUUCACAAUGAAGUUCUCGAACGCGCAUAUGAAUGAGAAGAAGUGAGAAUAUUCUCGAACACACAUAUGAAUGGGAAGAAGUGAGGUUGAACGGAUAAAGACAUAGCACAAAUAUAUUGUUUGAAUGCUGAGAUAUUGUGUUCACACAUAAUGAAAUAUGGAAAGAUACAUCCAAAAAAUCUGUGAAGACAGAUGAAUAAGCACCACUGCUCUGCUUGUGAGUAUCUACCUAUAUGAGGUCUUCAUGUCAAUAUGAUAGGUAAGAUCAUGUGGGACGCAACAUUGCAUUCCAUCUUUUAUUGUUCAAGAAAAAUAUAUCUAUUUCAAGCACCUCACACAUACAAUUUGAAAUUACUCACUACAUUAUUGUCUAUUAUGUAGUGUUUAUGAAGAUUAAAAGCUUCAAUUAUCCUAAAUAUGGAACUUCCUUUUUCUUUUUGUAGACGCAUUAAUCUGCAUGAAGAAAGCGCUAACAAAUAAUCAAGGAAUUUGCAAGGAUUUACCUUAUCUUCACACGAAUUGUAUUAUUCACUUAGAUCUCAAACAUGAAAAUAUAUUGUUGGAUGACAAUAUCAUGCCAAAAAUUCUGAACUUUUAUCUCUCAAAGUUGCUUCAAGGAAAAGCAAAACCAAGCUAUUGCUCGAAAACAGGGAGGCAGAAUUGGAACUGUUAAAAGUAUGCAUAGAAAGAAUGAUAAAAGUAUGAUUCAUUAGUUCUGCCGGUAAGUUUGUUCAUGGCACAUGACAUGCUCCACUAGUCUUAUUUAAUAGAGUUUGUGUACAUGUCCAUUUUCACCUUUGUUGCUCCGAGUUAGGGGAUGAGAUCAAGCAUCGUUGGUUGUUCAUCAAGCACAGAAGGGUUCCAAUGUGCUGCAGCAAGGCACACCUAAAGGUAUAACUUCUAAGAACUAGCAUGCCAAGCGAAAGAAAGAGGGAAGGUCUGAUACAAAGGAAAGGGUUGCAAGACCUGUAUAUUUUUCUAUACUUAUAGAGGUGACACAUGUUCCCUAAGGUAGGGUACGCGUCGUUGGUUAGCACAACACCACUAUCUGGAUCUUCUAUAGGACGUCGACAAUAUAUUUUGUUCAUACAAGAAUCAACUUGUUCCUAAAAAAACAAAGAAUCAGAUUUCCAGGAAAAACUGAAACUGCUAAAUUUUUCUACUCUGCAUCUUUGGGGAUAUAACGUGUUUGUUCAGUGACCAGUUUUGUAGGUUUUGAAGUUGGUUAAUUAGAGUUGGAAACACUAUUCCAUAUACUUUCUGUUGAUGCCUUUUCUUGCUUCCAAAUGAAGUUUGUCUUAUGUAUAAUAAAUUCCGGUUUAUACCCCUUCCUGUGACAUUUUUGACAGGAAUUACUCUAUUUAAGAGAUUUUCAUCCGUUUUAACCCAUUUAAAGGAAAUUGUGCCACAUUUUACUUCUAAUUUUUAGCACGUUCUGCUUCUCGGCUGUCGGUGUACACACGACACACCACCUGGGCUGUUUUCCUUGGCAGGCGGCAGCUGGUUUCCUCCACGUGGCCCUCCCACCUGCCUGGUUUAUCCCAACUUGUGCCACUGCCCAGCAUCUUUUUUUUUUUUGGCUUAGGCCUUCACUUAAAAGAGUUUAUACUACCAGUACCAGCACCAACAAUCGAUGUGUCUUUGGCUAAAUUUUUGUUGAGCACAUGUGUUCAUCUACUUCGAUGUGAUUGAUUUUUUUCUAGAAGGAGGUUUUACCCACGGGUUCUGCAUCAGGUGAUGCACACGUCCAUUUUAUUAAACAAAGUAGCAACGAAGUACAUAGUUCAACACAAGUAUCUAUGUGUACAAGUAUUGCUACGAAAAACUUAAUCUCUUCAAUUUAUCAGCCCUAUGAAAACAAAGUAUAUAUGUGUACAAUAUUGCUUUUGUACUUGGGAGCUCAUGGCAUAUAAGGCUGUUAGUCUAGUUUUGCGUGAACAGUUACAGGGAACUACCUAAAGGGUUCUAAUUGAUAUCACUUAUGUUACUAACCUUGAUGCAGAAAUGUUGGGAAACUGUUAGUUCGGUCUGAUUGCCUAUCGACUUCUUAAAUAUAACUUGGACACGCGCUCAGGGAACCUCAGGGGUGACGAGCCAGAAAGAAAGGGCCACCAAGGCACUAAAGAUUGGCCCCUCUCCUCAUACUCCUUGACAGUUAUUCUCACUAGGAUCAGUGUCACUAAUGUUAGAGAAAGUAACAUCUCCUCGACAACCCAGAAGUUUCCUGGUCCCAUUCUUGACUUCCGUACGGCCUUGGUCUCAAUUUUCUCACAUACAUCAUAUUGGAAUGACCUUCCUGUUUAGUAUAGGGGUUGCAUUUUAAGAUUGAUAGGCUGCUACUCCCUCGGUCUGAUUGCUUAUCGACUUUGUACUAGCUCUAGUAUUAAGUUGUAUUAAGCUUUUUUUGAGCAAACACAAAAUUGUACUAAGCUUAAGACACUUAUUUUAGGAUAGAGGGAGUUUUUUUUUCUAGGAACAAUGUUGGGAAACUGUUAGUUCGAUCUGAUUGCUUAUCGACUUAAAAAAUAUUGACUGCUACUUAUACAA